GCCCGUUUAUAGGAAGGGACCCUGCACUCCUCAGUGAAGCUGUUUAUUUGACAAGAAUUGCAAUCGAAGUAGACUUUUCAGUCGGACAAGGAAUUUUUGGUUUUUUCGAACCCUUGCUCUACAUGAAGUUUGGAUGCAGAUGCUGUGCAGGAUCUGUGGUUUAAAGGAUUUCAAGGUUUAACAUGCGCUGGGCAAGACUUUGCCCUUGGACAUUAGUGCUACGUGAACUUACUUGGAAAAGUGGACGAAAGUUCCUGGCGCUCCAAGCAAGCGGAGGUUACCUGUUAACCAAGAAGAUAAAUGAGAGGAGAAAAGUGUGGUUAAUGUUUUUUUUGUCUCUUGCCAGAUUUUUUUAAAUUAGUUUUUGAAAGUUGAAAUGCAUAUGUUUGUUAUAAUAACUUUUCGUGCUUUUUCUUUCUCUCUGUCUCUGUCUCUCUCUCUCUCUCUCUCUCUCUCUCUCUCUCUCUCUCUGUGUGUGUGUGUGUCCGUGUCCUUGUCUGUGUCGGCACGUGAUUCACAGUUGUUAGGAUAUUUUCUGCUGGAGGCACAAUCAAUAAUUUACAGGAGGAGAUAAUUGCUUUGCACGCUGUGUUACUUUCAGCCAUGCUUUGUGAGAUAGUGGAGAGGGCAGGCUGACAGUAAUGAGGCAGAGAGGGGUGUUUACCGUCUUCACUUUUUUUCUGUUGGCCUCCUUCUCAGCUCUCAGCCUCUGCAGCAGCUCUUUGACCGUGGUUCUCACUCGCACGCCCUGGUACACACGCACUGGCUUAUCUAUAUGAAGGGAACAGCGUGUCACUCAUGUUUACCAAGCACUCACACUGGCGCACACAGUAGCCAAACACUCACUCCUGUCCUCUUCACUUCAUUCUGCUCACCUUUGAUCUGCAUAAACCCGCAGUGACUCAUCUCAAACUGAGUGAAUGAAAAAUAUAAAUGUCUGUACAGUGUCUCUAACACACAUGUCCACAUGUUGAUUCUGUGGCAACAGUAUCCUGCAUUCUAAUAAAAAAAAAUCAUGCAAUUGUCUGUAUGCAUUAUUUUUAGAGAGAAGGUGCCACAUAUUAACUAAAUGAAGGCUACAGUGUUUUUUUAAAACUGCGUAGCGCCAGAACUACCCGAGUUUAAUCUGAAUCCAUGGUGCGUAAAAGCGCAUUGCCUCCGCUCAGUGCGCUGUGGUUGUGGAUAUUUCUGAUCACUUAUCCAGACCUCCAGAGCCAGUUAGGGCUCCCUCUUUCCGGCAGCAAAGAUCUGCUUUUUCUAUUCCGCCGUAAGCAGUCUUUCUCUGCUGGCUGUGUUGAAACCGCGCUGCAAAGCCACCCCACUCAAACCAGGAACUAAGGAAAGCCACACAAAAUGCCGUACUGGUAGAAACACUUCGAAAUGAUUUCCAGAUGAAAAAUCCAGCUUGAAACUCACCAGACAUGAUGAAUGGGAUAAAGAGAGGUUCCCUGAAGAAGCCUUACAGGAGUCCACAACGUCUUUUUCUGGCACAGCACAAUG